UACAGAGGGUGCGAGCGUUAAUCGGAAUUACUGGGCGUAAAGCGCACGUAGGCGGCUUGGUAUGUCGGGUGUGAAAUCCCCGGGCUCAACCUGGGAACUGCAUCCGAAACUGCCUUGCUAGAGUAUGGGAGAGGGAAGUGGAAUUUCCGGUGUAGCGGUGAAAUGCGUAGAUAUUCGCAAGAACACCAGUGGCGAAGGCGGCUCACUGGCCCGAUACUGACGCUGAGGCACGAAAGCGUGGGGAGCAAACAGG
rnacentral:rRNA from 1 species